GACGAACGCUGGCGGCGUGCUUAACACAUGCAAUUCGAACGGAAAGGCCCUGCUUUUUUGGGUUGCUCAAGUGGCAAACGGUUGAUUAACACUUGAUUACCCUCCCUUUGCCUUUGGGAUACCUUCAGGAACCUGGGUCUAAUCCCGGAUAGGAGCUCCUCCUCCAUGUUGGGGUUUGGAAAGUUUCGGCGGUUGGGGAUGGACUCGCGGCUUACCAGCUUGUUGGUGGGGUAGUGGCUUACCAAGGCUUUGACGGGUAGCCGGCCUGAGAGGGUGACCGGCCACAUUGGGACUGAGAUACGGCCCAGACUCCUACGGGAGGCAGCAGUGGGGAAUAUUGCACAAUGGGCGGAAGCCUGAUGCAGCAACGCCGCGUGCGGGAUGACGGCCUUCGGGUUGUAAACCGCUUUCGCCUGUGACGAAGCGUGAGUGACGGUAAUGGGUAAAGAAGCACCGGCUAACUACGUG
rnacentral:rRNA from 1 species